rnacentral:rRNA from 1 species
AACGAACGCUGGCGGCAGGCUUAACACAUGCAAGUCGAACGCCCCGCAAGGGGAGUGGCAGACGGGUGAGUAACGCGUGGGAAUCUACCCAGUCCUUCGGAACAACACAGGGAAACUUGUGCUAAUACCGGAUACGCCCUACGGGGGAAAGAUUUAUCGGGAUUGGAUGAGCCCGCGUUGGAUUAGCUAGUUGGUGAGGUAAAAGCUCACCAAGGCGACGAUCCAUAGCUGGUCUGAGAGGAUGAUCAGCCACACUGGGACUGAGGCACGGCCCAGACUCCUACGGGAGGCAGCAGUGGGGAAGUAUUGGACAAUGGGCGCAAGCCCCUGAUCCAGCCAUGCCGCGUGAGUGAUGAAGGCCUUAGGGUUGUAAAGCUCUUUCAGUGGGGACGAUAAUGACGGUACCACAGAAGAAGCCCCGGCUAACUUCGUG